AUUGAACGCUGGCGGCAGGCUUAACACAUGCAAGUCGAGCGGGGUGAUGGUGCUUGCACUAUCACUUAGCGGCGGACGGGUGAGUAAUGCUUAGGAAUCUGCCUAUUAGUGGGGGACAACAUCUCGAAAGGGAUGCUAAUACCGCAUACGUCCUACGGGAGAAAGCAGGGGAUCACUUGUGACCUUGCGCUAAUAGAUGAGCCUAAGUCGGAUUAGCUAGUUGGUGGGGUAAAGGCCUACCACGGCGACGAUCUGUAGCGGGUCUGAGAGGAUGAUCCGCCACACUGGGAGUGAGACACGGCCCAGACUCCUACGGGAGGCAGCAGUGGGGAAUAUUGGACAAUGGGGGGAACCCUGAUCCGGCCAUGCCGCGUGUGUGAAGAAGGCCUUAUGGUUGUAAAGCACUUUAAGCGAGGAGGAGGCUCUUUUGGUUAAUACCCAAGAUGAGUGGACGUUACUCGCAGAAUAAGCACCGGCUAACUCUGUGCCAGCCGCCGCGGUAA
rnacentral:rRNA from 1 species